rnacentral:lncRNA from 1 species
AGUUUAAUACACAAAACUAUAUAUUGAGGAUCAUGGGAUUACUAUCCCGAAUUAGAUAUGAAAUACUUUGAUAUACACGAAUUGUAGAUAGAAAGUAGUUUGAAAACCUUGGGAUUAUCAUCCCGAACUAGUUACAAGAUAGUUUGAUAUACUUGAAAUUAUAGAUUGAAAACCAUGGGACUACUAUCCCGAACUAGAUAUAAGAUUGUUUGAUAAAACCAUGGGAUCACUAUCCCGAACUAGGUAUAAGAUAAAUGGAUAAAGCCAUGGGAUUAUUAUCCCGUACUAGAUAUAGUUUCAAAANAUUGUUUGAUAAAACCAUGGGAUCACUAUCCCGAACUAGAUAUAAGAUAAUUGGAUAAAGUCAUGGGAUUACCAUCCCGUACUAGAU